rnacentral:rRNA from 1 species
AUUGAACGCUGGCGGAAUGCUUUACACAUGCAAGUCGAGCGGCAGCGCGGGGCAACCUGGCGGCGAGCGGCGAACGGGUGAGUAAUACAUCGGAACGUACCCAGUUGUGGGGGAUAGCCCGGCGAAAGCCGGAUUAAUACCGCAUACGACCUGAGGGUGAAAGGGGGGGAUCGCAAGACCUCUCGCAGUUGGAGCGGCCGAUGGCGGAUUAGCUAGUUGGUAGGGUAAAGGCCUACCAAGGCGACGAUCCGUAGCUGGUCUGAGAGGACGACCAGCCACACUGGAACUGAGACACGGUCCAGACUCCUACGGGAGGCAGCAGUGGGGAAUUUUGGACAAUGGGGGCAACCCUGAUCCAGCCAUUCCGCGUGAGUGAAGAAGGCCUUCGGGUUGUAAACUCCUGGACUGGGGGACGGAGGAAGGACGGUACCCACGUAGAAAGGGACGGCUAACUACGUG